GCUUCGGUAACCUACGUGGUUAGAGUGUCAGCCUCCAAUGCAGAUGGUCUUGGGUUCGAACCCCGGCUGAUUCA